rnacentral:rRNA from 1 species
UACGAAGGGGGCGAGCGUUAUUCGGAAUCACUGGGCGUAAAGCGUGCGUAGGCUGUUCAGAAAGUCAGGAGUGAAAGCCCAAGGCUCAACCUUGGAAUGGCAUUUGGGACUGCAAGGCUUGAGUGCGGCAGAGGAGACUGGAAUUCCUGGUGUAGCAGUGAAAUGCGUAGAUAUCAGGAGGAACACCGAUGGCGAAGGCAGGUCUCUGGGCUGACACUGACGCUCAUGCACGAAAGCGUGGGGAGCAAACAGG